rnacentral:snRNA from 1 species
GUGUUCACUUUAGUAGCACAUGUGCUAAAAUUAGAACAAUACAGAGAAAAUUGCCAUGGCCCACUGUGUAAGGAUAAAAUGCAAAUUUGUAAAGUGUUCCAUAUUUUU